rnacentral:rRNA from 1 species
GAUUAACGCUAGCGGCAGGCAUAAUACAUGCAAGUUGAACGGCAGCACAGGUAGCAAUUCUGGGUGGCGAGUGGCGCACGGGUGCGUAACACGUAUGCAACCUACCCUAUACUGUCGAAUAACCUUUAGAAAUUAGGGCUAAUACGCCGUAGUAUUACAGCUGGGCUUCUAUUUGUAAUUAAAGUUUUAUCGGUAUAGGAUGGGCAUCCGUCCCAUUAGUUUGUUGGUAAGGUAACGGCUUACCAAGACGAUGAUGGGUAGGGGAUCUGAGGGGACUUACCCUCACACUGGUACUGGGACACGGACCAGACUCCUACGGGAGGCAGCAGUAAGGGAGAUUGGGCAAGGGACGCGAGGCUGACCCAGCCAUGCCGCGUGCAGGAAGACGGCCUUAUGGGUUGUAAACUGCUUUUAUACGGGAAUAAUAGAGUGUACGCGAACAUUUAUGCAAGUAUCGUAUGAAUAAGCAUCGGCUAACUCCGUG